rnacentral:rRNA from 1 species
GACGUAGGGCGCGAGCGUUGUCCGGAUUUAUUGGGCGUAAAGAGCUCGUAGGCGGCUCGUUGCGUCCAUCGUGAAAACUCAGGGCUUAACUCUGAGCUUGCGGUGGAUACGGGCGGGCUAGAGUUCGGUAGGGGAGACUGGAAUUCCUGGUGUAGCGGUGAAAUGCGCAGAUAUCAGGAGGAACACCGGUGGCGAAGGCGGAUCUCUGGGCCAUUACUGACGCUGAGGAGCGAAAGCGUGGGGAGCGAACAGG